UAGGGAAUCUUCCGCAAUGGACGAAAGUCUGACGGAGCAACGCCGCGUGAGUGAUGAAGGCUUUCGGGUCGUAAAACUCUGUUGUUGGGGAAGAACAAGUGCUAGUUGAAUAAGCUGGCACCUUGACGGUACCUAACCAGAAAGCCACGGCUAACUACGUGCCAGCAGCCGCGGUAAUACGUAGGUGGCAAGCGUUAUCCGGAAUUAUUGGGCGUAAAGCGCGCGCAGGUGGUUUCUUAAGUCUGAUGUGAAAGCCCACGGCUCAACCGUGGAGGGUCAUUGGAAACUGGGAGACUUGAGUGCAGAAGAGGAAAGUGGAAUUCCAUGUGUAGCGGUGAAAUGCGUAGAGAUAUGGAGGAACACCAGUGGCGAAGGCGACUUUCUGGUCUGUAACUGACACUGAGGCGCGAAAGCGUGGGGAGCAAACA
rnacentral:rRNA from 1 species